AUACGGAGGGUGCGAGCGUUGUUCGGAAUCACUGGGCGUAAAGGGCGCGCAGGCGGUUUGUCAAGUCAGAUGUGAAAGGCCACGGCUCAACCGUGGAGGUGCAUCUGAAACUGGCAGACUUGAGUACCGGAGGGGAAAGUGGGAUUCCCGGUGUAGAGGUGAAAUUCGUAGAUAUCGGGAGGAACACCGGAGGCGAAGGCGACUUUCUGGACGGAUACUGACGCUGAGGCGCGAAAGCGUGGGGAGCAAACAGGAUUAGAAACCCUUGUAGUCC
rnacentral:rRNA from 1 species